rnacentral:tRNA from 1 species
AAUAAGGUGCCUGAUUAAAAGGAUUAUUUUGAUAGAAUAAAACAUGUAUAUAAAUACCCUUAUUA